CAGUAGCCCGGGAAUACGAGGGGAGCUAGCGUUGUUCGGAAUUACUGGGCGUAAAGCGCGCGUAGGCGGCUUUUUAAGUCAGAGGUGAAAGCCCGGGGCUCAACCCCGGAAUUGCCUUUGAAACUGGAAAGCUAGAAUCUUGGAGAGGUCAGUGGAAUUCCGAGUGUAGAGGUGAAAUUCGUAGACAUUCGGAAGAACACCAGUGGCGAAGGCGACUGACUGGACAAGUAUUGACGCUGAGGUGCGAAAGCGUGGGGAGCAAACAGGAUUAGAUACCCCUGUAGUCCCUGUCUCUUAUACC
rnacentral:rRNA from 1 species